UUUUUUUCCAGUAGUUGACUACCCACGCUGUGCUUUUUGAGUAUAAUGAUCCAACACUUUGAAUAGGAAGACCUGAUGC